rnacentral:tRNA from 1 species
CGGGCAUUAGCGCAGUCUGGUAGCGCACUACUUUCGGGAAGUAGGGGUCGCAGGUUCAAAUCCUGCAUGCCCGACCA